GAUGAACGCUAGCGGGAGGCCUAACACAUGCAAGCCGAGCGGUAUUUGUUCUUCGGAACAGAGAGAGCGGCGCACGGGUGCGGAACACGUGUGCAACCUGCCUUUAUCUGGGGGAUAGCCUUUCGAAAGGAAGAUUAAUACCCCAUAAUAUAUUGAGUGGCAUCAUUUGAUAUUGAAAACUCCGGUGGAUAGAGAUGGGCACGCGCAAGAUUAGACAGUUGGUGAGGUAACGGCUCACCAAGUCAAUGAUCUUUAGGGGGCCUGAGAGGGUGAUCCCCCACACUGGUACUGAGACACGGACCAGACUCCUACGGGAGGCAGCAGUGAGGAAUAUUGGACAAGGGGUUAGCGCCUGAUCCAGCCAUCCCGCGUGAAGGACGACGGCCCUAUGGGUUGUAAACUUCUUUUGUAUAGGGAUAAACCUACUCUCGUGAGAGUAGCUGAAGGUACUAUACGAAUAAGCACCGGCUAACUCCGU
rnacentral:rRNA from 1 species